UACGUAGGCAGCGAGCGUUGUUCGGAAUUACUGGGCGUAAAGAGUGUGUAGGCGGUGCUCUAAGUUCGGUGUGAAAUCUCCUGGCUCAACUGGGAGGGUGCGCCGGAAACUGGAGUGCUUGAGCGUGGGAGAGGAAAGCGGAAUUCCUGGUGUAGCGGUGAAAUGCGUAGAUAUCGGGAGGAACACCGGUGGCGAAGGCGGUUCUCUGGGCCUUACCUGACGCUGAGGAGCGAAAGCGUGGGGAGCGAACAGG
rnacentral:rRNA from 1 species